UCGGCAAAAAAAAAUAUGGUGGGCUCGGCUCAUAAACAUUUACCUUUCGAGUGUAAUAGGUUACACACAACAAAUAAAAGGGUUAAACAACAAUAAUAAAAUUCAAGACUGAAAAAAACACCUGAGUCAUGAGAUAUCAAGUGUUUGCGUUAUCUAUAUCACUAUAAUUGUAUUGAUUAGAAAUGAUUGAAAACGAUUUUUUUACGAUGAAGGUGUCACGCAAACAACUAGAAUUAACAAUUAUUUACGGUGACGAGACGAUAAAAUUUGCAGAAAUCUAAAAACCUUUCACCGCUGUUUUCACGGGCAC